CUCUAAGGGCCACCUGAAAACGCUGACAAUUUAGAGGCAAGUGGAAAAAAGGAGAUGAAGACAGAAGUCAGAGAAGAAUGAGGGGGAAUAACAAGGGUCUAGUUACAGAAACCAAGUUCAAGAGAGUUUCACAGAGGAGGGAGUGAUGAUCAGUGACAGGCGUGGCACAACAGUCCGGCAGAUAAGGACUGCAUUAUGCAACUAGAAAAAGAUCGUUCAUAACUCACAUGAGAGCAAAACCAGAACCACGAUGGGCAGCGAGGGCAUUGAAGACAGAGAGGGUUGGAUUCUUUUGAGAAGUUUAGAUGGGAAGACAGAGACUUGGAAGCUUGAGGGGGACUCGUGAUAAAGGAUAUAGCCCCAGUUUUCCCCCUGCAAGUGAAAUGCGAGACAUACGGAGCACACGGGAAUCACAACCUAAAGGCUGGAGCCAAGCCCAGAUUAGACCAGCCUACCUUCAGCUGACCUGCAAAUCAUGACAAAGAUAAAUGAUUGUCAUUUUAGGCAACUGAGUUUCAGGGGACUCGUCCACAUGGCAGAGGAGAAUCUAGGAACUGCAUUUUCUACAUUUUCCUUCUCUAUAUGGUUCCAG